AUUGAACGCUGGCGGCAGGCUUAACACAUGCAAGUCGAACGAGUGGCGGACGGGUGAGUAAUGCUUGGGAAUCUGGCUUAUGGAGGGGGAUAACGACGGGAAACUGUCGCUAAUACCGCGUACCAUAGGAUGAGCCCAAGUGGGAAUAGGUAGUUGGUGGGGUAAUGGCCUACCAAGCCGACGAUCUCUAGCUGGUCUGAAAGGAUGACCAGCGAACCCGGGGCGGAGAAACGGCGCGGACUCCGACGGGAGGCAGCAGUGGGGAGUAUUGCGCAAUGGGGGCAACCUUACGCAGCCAUGCCGCGUUAAUGAGGAAGGCCUUCGGGUUGUAAAGUUCUUUCGGUGACGAGGCGUUAAUCACAGAAGAAGCACCGGCUAACUCGGUGACAGCAGCCGCGGAAUU
rnacentral:rRNA from 1 species